UACGUAGGGUGCAAGCGUUAAUCGGAAUUACUGGGCGUAAAGCGUGCGCAGGCGGCUUUGCAAGACAGAUGUGAAAUCCCCCGGGCUCAACCUGGGAACUGCAUUGUGACUGCAAGGCUAGAGUACGGUAGAGGGGGGAUGGAAUUCCGCGUGUAGCAGUGAAAUGCGUAGAUAUGCGGAGGAACACCGAUGGCGAAGGCAAUCCCCCUGGACCUGUACUGACGCUCAUGCACGAAAGCGUGGGGAGCAAACGGG
rnacentral:rRNA from 1 species